CUGAGAGCCUUUGGGUAUGGGGAGCGUAGUCUCUUCAAAAAAAAACACAGCACCGAGAUUCCAUCCAAAAACCCCAGGCUUUUUUGUCACAGGGAAGAAAUCUAGCACACAUAAUUAAAGGAGGCAGCGGCCAGAGGGGAAAGUCUGCAAAAAGUCGACAUAUUGAUAAUCCAGAUUUCAUUACACAAUUCACAAGUAUUGACGUACAGGAAAGCGGGAAAGCUGAUCUGCUCCGUCUGACCCUGUUGCACAGAUGUCUGGCGAGGGUUAAAGGAAGCAAGGACUCGAAGGCUUUGUUUUAUGUUGCAUCAAAAAAACCAAGAGGGAUUACUGGGUUUGAAAACAAUCCCGGCGCUGAGGUUAAGAAGUAAUUGAGUUAAAUGAACUUUCGUUUCAAUAAUCUCAUCUGAUAACGCUGUCUGAAAGUCGGCAAGCCGUUUUCUUUCUUAGUUUAGACAUCUGAAUGUCCAGGUGAUCUCACUUCUCCUGUUCCAUCUUCCAGACUAAAUUUAACUCUGUCUGGAAUUAGCCAUACGAUAGGCUUGGUAUUUUUCUGGAUCCCACGAAGACUCGAAUGGCCACUAAUUUGAAAGCAUAAUUAAGAAACUAAUGUUCGAACUCUUGCGCUGAAUAUUGGUCUCCCGUCUACGAACUUCCUAUUGAAGUUGAUUAAACUUUGCUUCAAACUUAGGAAGUAACCUGAUAACAUGAACUCUUCCAACUGACUUAGGACAUCAAGGUCCACAGCAAAUGUAUCAACUGCGAAGAGUUACUCCCUUCCUAAAACUAACUUACUAGUUAAUUCAAUUGGAAAAUUAAAUAAAAAUGUCAGAAAUCAUCAUC